rnacentral:lncRNA from 1 species
GGUGCUAGUUCAACCAGCAUGACCUUAAUCUAAUUCAAUGACUUGGUGAAGUUAGUGGGAGGAUUGUGGUUACUGGUUAAUCUCAUUUCAUCUCUUCUCUAAAUUGAUUAAAAUUUUCUAAAUUAUUAGAUCCUUAAAAUGAGCUAGUUAUGGGGAUAACUAGAUCAUAGCGUCCCAUUAAGUUGGAUGAUAAUGGAUCUAUUAGUAUGAUGAUCAUUGGA